rnacentral:sRNA from 1 species
GCCGGGUGUGAUGGCACAUGCCUGUAAUCCCAGAAGCUCGAGAGGCUGAGACAGGAGGAUCACCGGUUCAAAGCCAGCCUCAGCAAUGUCGAGGCGCUAAGCAACUCAGUGAGACCCUGUCUCUA